rnacentral:rRNA from 1 species
UACGUAGGGUGCAAGCGUUGUCCGGAAUUAUUGGGCGUAAAGAGCUCGUAGGCGGUCUGUCGCGUCUGCUGUGAAAACUCAGGGCUUAACCCUGAGCUUGCAGUGGGUACGGGCAGACUAGAGUGCGGUAGGGGAGACUGGAAUUCCUGGUGUAGCGGUGAAAUGCGCAGAUAUCAGGAGGAACACCGGUGGCGAAGGCGGGUCUCUGGGCCGUAACUAACGCUGAGGAGCGAAAGCAUGGGGAGCGAACAGG